UGCCAGCGCCGCGGUAAUACGAACCGGACGAACGUUAUUCGGAAUCACUGGGCUUAAAGGGUGCGUAGGCGGCCUGGCAGGUGGGGUGUGAAAUCCCUCGGCUCAACCGAGGAACUGCGCCCCAAACCGUCAGGCUUGAGGGAGACAGGGGUGAGCGGAACUAGCGGUGGAGCGGUGAAAUGCGUUGAUAUCGCUGGGAACACCAGUGGCAAAGGCGGCUCACUGGGUCUCUUCUGACGCUGAGGCACGAAAGCUAGGGGAGCGAACGGGAUUAGAUA
rnacentral:rRNA from 1 species